ensembl:misc_RNA 7SK 7SK RNA
AAAAGUCUAGAGUGGCUACAGUCACUCCAUUGAUUGCCAGGGUUGAUUCAGCUGAUCUGGCUAGCCAGAUGGGUGUCUCCUUCCUCCCUCACCGCUCCAUGUGUCCCACCCAGAGCUGCACACUCAAAGAGGACAACCAUUUCUGGUAGAGGAUGACCUUUCUUUGGUCAAGAGUAUAUCAGUAACCACACUUCCCUGCUAAACCUCUAAACAAGCUCUUGAGGUCCAAAAACUCUAGCAUCAGGCCUUGGAAACUGUUGUUAAAAGAAGUGUGGGGGUGCUGGGAUAUAGCUCAGCUGAUAGAGUGUUGCCUUGCAUGCACAAGGCCCUGGGUUCAA